rnacentral:rRNA from 1 species
ACUUGUAGUUUCCAAAGCAAUGUUCUUCCAGCGUGCUUGGGCGAGAGUAGUACUAGGAUGGGUGACCUCCUGGGAAGUCCUCGUGUUGCACCUC